GACGAACGCUGGCGGCGUGCUUAACACAUGCAAGUCGAACAGUGGCGAACGGGUGAGUAACACGUGAGUAACCUGCCCUCCACUUUGGGAUAACUCCGAGAAAUCGGGGCUAAUACUGGAAAGUGGGGUCUGUGCUCGCGGCCUAUCAGUUUGUAGGUGAGGUAGUGGUCACCAAGGGGUGACGGUUAGCCGGCCUGAGAGGGCGACCGGCCACACUGGGACUUAGACACGGCCAAGACUCCUACUGUAGGCAGCAGGGGAGACUAGUUCACAAUCGGCGAAAGCCUGAUGCAGAGCCGCCGGGUGGGGGAUGCCGGCCUUCGGGUUGUAAACCUCUUUCAGCUAGGAAGCGGUACUUGCAGAAUAAGCGCCGGCUAACUACGUGCCAGCAGCCGCGGUAAUAC
rnacentral:rRNA from 1 species